AUUCUGAAGAAAUUGCGAAGGCUAUUAAUUUUUACAAACCAACAAAACUUAGAGAGUAACCUCACCAACCUUAUUAAGAGGAACACAGAACUGGAGACCCUUUUGGCUAAACUCAUCCAAACCUGUCAACAUGUUGACUGGAAUGUUCUGUACUGUUUCCCAGAGUUGCCCAAUGGGGUUAAUCUCCAGUUGCCCAAGGUGGUC
rnacentral:lncRNA from 1 species